rnacentral:rRNA from 1 species
UACGAACCGGACAAACGUUAUUCGGAAUCACUGGGCUUAAAGAGUGCGUAGGCGGCUUACCAGGUUGGGUGUGAAAUCCCUCGGCUCAACCGAGGAAUUGCGCCCAAAACUGGUAGGCUCGAGGAAGGCAGGGGUAAGCGGAACUGAUGGUGGAGCGGUGAAAUGCGUUGAUAUCAUCAGGAACACCAGUGGCGAAGGCGGCUUACUGGGCCUUUACUGACGCUGAGGCACGAAAGCUAGGGGAGCGAACGGG